AGGUGGAAAAAAUUCAUAUUACGUUACAAAAGUCUGUUUUUACUCCUUAAACUAAAAUUAGAUAAAAUACUUCUCUAAACUUUUUAAAUCGUUUGUUUUACCUCCCUAACUGAUUAUAAGUGGUUUUUAAAGACGGUUUUAUAUUUUUCUUUUUUAUUUAUUUUAGUUAAAUCUUUAAAAAAUCAUAAUAAAUCACGAAAAAUUAUAAAAUUAAAAUUAUAAUUUUAUCGGAAUUCAUAUGAGGUGAUUUAUGCAGCGAACAUAUAAUAUAAUAUUGCUUUAGGCCGUGUUUAGUUGGUGAAAGAAAAAAUUUCGUAUUGUUUGUUUGUGGUAAUUAUUGUCCAACCAUGGACUAACUAGACUCAAAAGAUUCGUCUCGUAAAUUUCAACCAAACUGUGCAAUUAGUUUUUAUUUUUGUCUAUAUUUAAUACUUCAUGCAUGUGUCUAAAGAUUCGAUAUGAUGGGGAAUCUUGAAAAUUAUUGUGUUUUUGGGUGGAAGUAAACAAGGCCUUAGUAUAAAUUUUUCGUUGUAGGUUUACACACAUAUGCUUUUCUAUAAUUUGGAAGUGGAGCGAGGCCCAUGAAGCCGUCGAUCGGUGCCUUGUACCUAUUGUAUUUUCCUUGCCUGAUAAGACAAAGUUUACACUGGACUGUACUCUACUGCUUCAUUAGAAAAGGCCCAUUGUCUGCCCUAUGAGCAGAGAACGUCGGAUGCCUAUGGGCGACUGCACCGACGACGAUUACGGCGGAUUUUUUUUCACGGUUUUUUCCAGAUAGAUCGGAUCGUGUCGCCGUGUUG
rnacentral:lncRNA from 1 species